rnacentral:rRNA from 1 species
AUUGAACGCUGGCGGCAUGCCUAACACAUGCAAGUCGAACGGGGCAGCAAUGCCUAGUGGCGGACGGGUGAGGAAUACGUAGGAAUCUGCCCUUAAGUGGGGGAUAACCAGGGGAAACCCUGACUAAUACCGCAUGAUCUCUUCGGAGCAAAGAGGGGGACCGCAAGGCCUCUCGCUUCUGGAUGAGCCUACGUCUGAUUAGCUAGUUGGUAGGGUAAAGGCCUACCAAGGCGACGAUCAGUAACUGGUCUGAGAGGAUGAUCAGUCACACCGGAACUGAGAAACGGUCCGGACUCCUACGGGAGGGAGCAGUGGGGAAUAUUGGACCAUGGGCGCAAGCCUGAUCCAGCAAUGCCGCGUGUGUGAAGAAGGCCUUCGGGGUGUAAAGCACUUUAGCCUGGAAAGAAAAAACUUUGGUUAACACCCAAAGUCUUGACGGUACCAGGAGAAUAAGCACCGGCUAACUCUGUGCCAGCCGCCGCGGUAAAAC